rnacentral:rRNA from 1 species
UGGGGAAUAUUGCACAAUGGAGGGAACUCUGAUGCAGCGACGCCGCGUGAACGAAGAAGGCUUUCGAGUCGUAAAGUUCUUUUAUAUGGGAAGAUAAUGACGGUACCAUAAGAAAAAGCCCCGGCUAACUACGUGCCAGCAGCCGCGGUAAUACGUAGGGGGCUAGCGUUGUCCGGAAUCACUGGGCGUAAAGGGUUCGCAGGCGGAAAUGCAAGUCAGGUGUAAAAGGCAGUAGCUUAACUACUGUAAGCAUUUGAAACUGCAUAUCUUGAGAAGAGUAGAGGUAAGUGGAAUUUUUAGUGUAGCGGUGAAAUGCGUAGAUAUUAAAAAGAAUACCGGUGGCGAAGGCGACUUACUGGGCUCAUUCUGACGCUGAGGCUCGAAAGCGUGGGUAGCAAACAGG